rnacentral:rRNA from 1 species
GAUGAACGCUAGCGGCAGGCCUAACACAUGCAAGUCGAGGGGUAACGAUGUCUUCGGACAGUCGACGACCGGCGCACGGGUGAGUAUCGCGUUUGUAACCUACCUCUAACUGGAGCAUAGCCCGAAGAAAUUCGGAUUAAUACUCCAUAAUACUAUGAUCUGGCAUCUUUUUAUAGUUAAAGCUACGGCGGUUAGAGAUGGGCAUGCGUGACAUUAGUUUGUUGGUGAGGUAAUGGCUCACCAAGACUACGAUGUCUAGGGGGUCUGAGAGGAUGAUCCCCCACACUGGUACUGAGACACGGACCAGACUCCUACGGGAGGCAGCAGUGAGGAAUAUUGGUCAAUGGGCGCAAGCCUGAACCAGCCAUGCCGCGUGAAGGAUGACAGCGCUAUGCGUUGUAAACUUCUUUUGUACGGGAAGAAACACU